AACUUUUAGCAAUGGAUCACUUGGCUCUGGCAUCGAUGAAGAACGCAGCGAAAUGCGAUAAGUAAUGCGAAUUGCAGAAUUUCCGUGAGUCAUCGAAUCUUUGAACGCACAUUGCGCCCACUGGUAUUCCGGUGGGCAUGCCUGUUCGAGCGUCAUUAUCCUCCCUCAAACCCCGGGUUUGGUGUUGGACCCAAGUUGUGUGAACAACUGGUCUUAAAGACAAUGACGGCGUCCGUGGGACCCUCGGUGCAACGAGCUUUUAGGAGCACGCGCCGAGUUGUAAGGACCUUCCGGGCCGGUCUCCUUUACUAUUUUACAAGGUUGACCUCGGAUCAGGUAGGAAUACCCGCUGAACUUAAGCAUAUCAAUAAGCGGAGGCU
rnacentral:misc_RNA from 1 species